rnacentral:rRNA from 1 species
ACGGGAGGCAGCAGUGGGGAAUAUUGCACAAUGGGGGAAACCCUGAUGCAGCGACGCCGCGUGAGUGAAGAAGUAUUUCGGUAUGUAAAGCUCUAUCAGCAGGAAAGAAAAUGACGGUACCUGACUAAGAAGCCCCGGCUAACUACGUGCCAGCAGCCGCGGUAAUACGUAGGGGGCAAGCGUUAUCCGGAUUUACUGGGUGUAAAGGGAGCGUAGACGGUAAGGCAAGUCUGAAGUGAAAUGCCAGGGCUCAACCCUGGAACUGCUUUGGAAACUGUCCUACUAGAGUGCAGGAGAGGUAAGUGGAAUUCCUAGUGUAGCGGUGAAAUGCGUAGAUAUUAGGAGGAACAUCAGUGGCGAAGGCGGCUUACUGGGCUUUAACUGACGCUGAGGCUCGAAAGCGUGGGGAGCAAACAGGAUUAGAUACCCUGGUA